AAUAGAUACCCAGGUAGUCCUAGCCGUAAACGAUACUCGCUAGGUGUCGGCCACGGUGCGACCGUUGUCGGUGCCGUAGGGAAGCCGUGAAGCGAGCCACCUGGGAAGUACGGCCGCAAGGCUGAAACUUAAAGGAAUUGGCGGGGGAGCACCACAACGGGUGGAGCUUGCGGUUUAAUUGGGUUCAACGCCGGAAAUCUUACCGGGACCGACAGCAACAUGAAGGCCAGGCUGAAGACUUUGCCGGAUUAGCUGAGAGGUGGUGCAUGGCCGUCGUCAGUUCGUACUGUGAAGCAUCCUGUUAAGUCAGGCAACGAGCGAGACCCACGCCCACAGUUGCCAGCGUACUCUCUGGAGUGACGGGUACACUGUGGGGACCGCCGCUGCUAAAGCGGAGGAAGGAAUGGGCAACGGUAGGUCAGUAUGCCCCGAAUAUCCCGGGCUACACGCGAGCCACAAUGGUUGGUACAAUGGGUAUCUACCCCGAAAGGGGAUGGAAAUCUCCUAAAGCCAAUUUUAGUUCGGAUUGAGGGCUGCAACUCGCCCUCA
rnacentral:rRNA from 1 species